rnacentral:rRNA from 1 species
UGCAGUCGACGGUACAGGAUUGAUUUAUCAAUUGCUGACGAGUGGCGCACGGGUGCGUAACACGUAUGCAACCUACCUUUUACAGGAGAAUAGCCCCGAGAAAUCGGGAUUAAUACUCCAUGGUAUCAUAAGAUCGCAUGGUCUAAUGAUUAGAGCUUCGGCGGUAAAAGAUGGGCAUGCGGUCUAUUAGUUUGUUGGUAAGGUAACGGCUUACCAAGACUUCGAUAGAUAGGGGGUCUGAGAGGAUGAUCCCCCACACUGGUACUGAGACACGGACCAGACUCCUACGGGAGGCAGCAGUGAGGAAUAUUGGUCAAUGGAGGAAACUCUGAACCAGCCAUGCCGCGUGCAGGAAGACGGCCCUACGGGUUGUAAACUGCUUUUAUUUGGGAAGAAACCCUCGGACGUGUCCGAGGCUGACGGUACCAAACGAAUAAGCACCGGCUAACUCCGUGCCAGCAGCCGCGGUAAUACG